AUCUACGGCCAUGCCACCCUGAACAAGCCUAAUCUCGUCUGAUCUCAGAAGCUAAGCAGGAUCAGGCCUGGUUAGUACUUGGAUAGGAGACCACCUAGGAAGACCAGGUGCUGUAGGCG
rnacentral:rRNA from 1 species